UAAUUGGCCUGUUACUUGCUAAUGCAUGGAAAGCGUGGAAGACUGCCAACAAAAAAGUGAUGAAAAAAGCUGCCUGAUAAUAGGCAGCUUUUUUCAUA
rnacentral:sRNA from 1 species